rnacentral:rRNA from 1 species
GCCAUGCCGCGUGUGUGAAGAAGGCKUUCGGGUUGUAAAGCACUUUCAGUGGGGAAGAAGGCUUUUGGGUUAAUAACCCAGAAGAAGGACAUCACCCACAGAAGAAGCACCGGCUAACUCCGUGCCAGCAGCCGCGGUAAUACGGAGGGUGCAAGCGUUAAUCGGAAUUACUGGGCGUAAAGCGCGCGUAGGUGGCCUGAUAAGCCGGUUGUGAAAGCCCCGGGCUCAACCUGGGAACGGCAUCCGGAACUGUCAGGCUAGAGUGCAGGAGAGGAAGGUAGAAUUCCCGGUGUAGCGGUGAAAUGCGUAGAGAUCGGGAGGAAUACCAGUGGCGAAGGCGGCCUUCUGGACUGACACUGACACUGAGGUGCGAAAGCGUGGGUAGCAAACAGGAUUAGAUACCCUGGUAGUCCACGCCGUAAACGAUGUCGACUAGCCGUUGGGUUCCUUGAGGACUUAGUGGCGCAGUUAACGCGAUAAGUCGACCGCCUGGGGAGUACGGCCGCAAGGUUA